rnacentral:rRNA from 1 species
GCCUACGGGAGGCAGCAGUGGGGAAUUUUGCGCAAUGGGCGAAAGCCUGACGCAGCAACGCCGCGUGCGGGAUGAAGGCCUUCGGGUUGUAAACCGCUUUCAGCAGGGAUGAAAUUGACAGUACCUGCAGAAGAAGCCCCGGCUAACUACGUGCCAGCAGCCGCGGUAAUACGUAGGGGGCAAGCGUUAUCCGGAUUCAUUGGGCGUAAAGAGCGCGUAGGCGGCUUGUUAAGUCAGAUGUGAAAACCGGGGGCUCAACCCGCGGCCUGCAUCUGAAACUGGCAGGCUUGAGUCUGGUAGAGGAAAGUGGAAUUCCCAGUGUAGCGGUGAAAUGCGCAGAUAUUGGGAGGAACACCAGUGGCGAAGGCGGCUUUCUGGGCCACGACUGACGCUGAGGCGCGAAAGCUAGGGGAGCGAACAGGAUUAGAUACCCGAGUAGUC